AGAUUGAACGCUGGCGGCAGGCCUAACACAUGCAAGUCGAGCGGCAGCACGGGUACUUGUACCUGGUGGCGAGCGGCGGACGGGUGAGUAAUGCCUAGGAAUCUGCCUGGUAGUGGGGGAUAACGCUCGGAAACGGACGCUAAUACCGCAUACGUCCUACGGGAGAAAGCAGGGGACCUUCGGGCCUUGCGCUAUCAGAUGAGCCUAGGUCGGAUUAGCUAGUUGGUGGGGUAAUGGCUCACCAAGGCGACGAUCCGUAACUGGUCUGAGAGGAUGAUCAGUCACACUGGAACUGAGACACGGUCCAGACUCCUACGGGAGGCAGCAGUGGGAAUAUUGGACAAUGGGCGAAAGCCUGAUCCAGCCAUCGACCGCGUAGGUGUGAAGAAGGUCUUACGGAUUGUAAAGCUACUUUAAGUUGGAGGUAAGGACAGUUACCUAAUACGUAUUCUAGUUUGACGUUACCGACAGAAUAAGCACCGUCUAACUCGU
rnacentral:rRNA from 1 species